AGUGUGGUGGAGGUACCUGUACCAGACAGGGGGAGACAGACCAGGGAGAGAGGGGUGAGUGUGGUGGAGGUACCUGUACCAGACAGGGGGAGACAGACCAGGGAGAGAGGGGUGAGUGUGGUGGGGGUACCUGUACGAGUCAGGGAGAGACAGGCCAGGGAGAGAGGGGGGAGUGUGGUGGGGGCACCAGUACCAGACAGGAGGAGACAGACCAGGGAGAGAGCGGUGAGUGUGUGGUGGAAGUACAGCAGUACAAAUGUCCGAGUUCACACACAGCUUUGUCUUUCUCCCUUAAUUGCUAUGGGUCUUGUCCCCACAUGCUUCAAGAUGGUCAACAUAUUUCCUGUAUAAAGAAUGCAAAGGUAACUAAACUAAAUGAUUAGAAAGUCACUUCUGUCAUCAUGAAGUGCUUGACCCACUUCAAUUUGCUUACCGCCCAAAUAGGUCCACAGACGAUGCAAUCACCAUCAAAGGUGACCUAUCCCAUUUGGACCAGAGGAAUACCUACACUACCAUUCAAAAGUUUGGCGUCACUUUAAAAAUGUCCUUUAAAAAAAAAAAAAAAAAAAAACAUUUUUUGUCCAUUAAAAUAACAUAACAUUGAUCAGAAAUACAGUGUAGACAUUGUUAAUGUUGUAAAUUACUAUUGUAGCUGGAAACGGCAGAUUUUUUAUGUAAUAUCUAAUAUGCGUACAUUAU
ensembl:lncRNA